AAGCAGCUAUUCAUUCAAAGAGUGCGUAAUAGCUCACUAGCCGAGUGACCCUGCGCCGAAAAUGUACCGGGGCUAAAACAAUUUACCGAAGCUGUGGAUACCUUUUAUAGGUAUGGUAGGAGAGCGUUCUAUGUGUGGAGAAGGUGUACCGUGAGGAGCGCUGGAACGCAUAGAAGUGAGAAUGCCGGUAUGAGUAGCGAAAGACAGGUGAGAAUCCUGUCCACCGUAAGACUAAGGUUUCCAGGGGAAGGCUCGUCCGCCCUGGGUUAGUCGGGACCUAAGGAGAGACCGAAAGGUGUAUCCGAUGGACAACAGGUUGAUAUUCCUGUACUAGAGUAUGUAGUGAUGGAGGGACGCAGUAGGCUAACUAAAGCAGACGAUUGGAAGUGUCUGUCUAAGCAGUGAGGUGUGAAUUGAGUUAAAUGCUUAGUUCUAUAACAUUGAGCUGUGAUGGGGAGCGAAGUUUAGUAGCGAAGUUAGUGACGUCACACUGCCAAGAAAAGCUUCUAGCGUUUAAACAUACUCUACCCGUACCGCAAACCGACACAGGUAGUCGAGGCGAGUAGCCUCAGGUGAGCGAGAGAACUCUCGUUAAGGAACUCGGCAAAAUGACCCCGUAACUUCGGGAGAAGGGGUGCUGACUUUAAGUCAGCCGCAGUGAAUAGGCCCAAGCAACUGUUUAUCAAAAACACAGCUCUCUGCUAAAUCGUAAGAUGAUGUAUAGGGGGUGACGCCUGCCCGGUGC
rnacentral:rRNA from 1 species